UGGACUUGUUGGAACAACCUUACUUAUUGCCUGAUAAUAUCAACAAGGUUGUUGCAAGGUGUUAACAGCUUGUUCCAAACUUGUUGACAACUUGGGACACGAAGUGCGAGCACAACUUGUUGACGGCUUGUUGGGAGACUUGCUACAAGAUUUGAGAUUUUUACGCCUGUAAUUUCUGGUCUCGUUCAGAGCAAAACGGUUCUGACAUUGUCAGAUAGAGGAUAAAUGCAUUAACCUAGUGUAUAGAAAGUCGUAGUGAUAGUCCUUGCACCAUGUAGUAUAUGUAUGUGUGCUAUCUUUUGGAUCUUCAGGCUGAACAGCAGGGAUUAUUUUAAGGUGCAGUGAUAACAAUUUGUAAAGUGUC